rnacentral:rRNA from 1 species
AACGCGUAGGUAACCUACCUACUAGCGGGGGAUAACUAUUGGAAACGAUAGCUAAUACCGCAUAACAGCAUUUAACCCAUGUUAGAUGCUUGAAAGGAGCAAUUGCUUCACUAGUAGAUGGACCUGCGUUGUAUUAGCUAGUUGGUGAGGUAACGGCUCACCAAGGCGACGAUACAUAGCCGACCUGAGAGGGUGAUAGGCCACACUGGGACUGAGACACGGCCCAG